GAACGCAUAUUGCGCUCUCUGGUAUUCCGGAGAGCAUGCUUGUUUGAGUAUCAGUAAACACCUCAACUCCCCUUUCUUUUUUUGAAAUGGGAGCUGGACUUGAGUGAUCCCAACGCUUUUCUCACCGAAAAGUGGCGGGUUACUUGAAAUGCAGGGGCAGCUGGACUUUUCUCUGAGCUAAAAGCAUAUCUAUUUAGUCUGCCUAAAAAACAGAUUAUUACCUUUGCUGCAGCUAACAUAAAGGAGAUUAGUUCUUGUGCUGACUGAUGCAGGAUUCACAGAGACAGCUUCGGCUGGCCUUUGUAAACUCGAUCUCAAAUCAAGUAAGACUACCCGCUGAACUUA
rnacentral:misc_RNA from 1 species